GGCAAAAUGUUAUUUGUCCUUUGGUUGGGAUCCCAUUGUAUCUCUAAAUUGCUUAUGGUAGAAUGGAAAUUUUCAUUUUGUCGAUUUUACCGAUGAAUGAACAUGGCAGAUUUUUCUAUUUUUGUGUGUCUUCUUCCAUUUCUUUAAUGUUUAUUAAUUUUCAUUGUAGACAUUUUCAUGGAUAUGAAACUGGACACCGAGUUGACGCUGAAGUUCAGCUGCUGGGUAAUCUUCCAUUUCUGGAGCCUGCUCAUCUUCCUUGUAAAACCCGGCUAGGCCUUCACCCUGGACAGGAGCAACUGACAUUUUCAUGGAUAUGAAACUGGACACCAAGUUGACACAGAAGUUCAGCUGCUGGGUAGUCUUCCAUUUGUGGAUCCUGCUUGGCUUCCUGGUAAAACCUAGCUGGGCCUUCACCCUGGACAGGAGCAACUGGUUAGUACAUGUGGCUGUGUCCUGUUGAUGGCAGCCCUUGGGCCCAAGGGGAAGGGGAAGGGAAGGGAACCCUGUUCCCUGGGGUUGGGCUGGCCAGGCUGAGAGCAAGGUGGACUUCCAAGCUUUGGGAAGGAGGGUCAAGUGGGGGAUCCCUAUAGACAUAUGGAGACAGAAAUGUGGGGGUCUAGUGUUCCUAGAAUAGAGUGUUGGCCACAGAGACAGAGGUGAACAAGAUAUUGGUGAAUGAGUUCUCUUGGGCUCUGCCAAGAAUUAGGGGCCAAAGAACAUGUUAAUAUGGGAAGACUGUGUCUCCAGGCAGUGGGAGGGAGACCUGGGAGGAAAACUGCAUGUGUUGACUCAGAGUACAAAAGAUAAAAAGUCUGCUUUGGGGAGACAUGGUAGUAGUUGUUAUGUUUUAGAGUUUCAGGCUAAGGACGAUGGGAUUGCAAGUACUUCAUGCAGCGGGAGUGGAGGGUUAGAUGCAAAUGGAAGAACCUGGGGCAUGCAAGGUUUGGGGAGCUGAAAACAGGUUAUUUCUGUAUGUCACCAUCCUAUGAUAGAAAAGGAAAAUGGAAGGAUUGUGGGGAGGAAGGCAUGCCACCAUGAGGAGAGUUGUAAUAGGGAGGAGCUGGUAGAUCUGCUUGUAAGAACUAGUGGAGCAUCAGAGUGUGAGAUCCAGGACAGGGCCUGGGGAGCAACCUUAGUUAAAGUGAGGGAAAGGAUAUCAGGAGGCAGGCAGAGGGAC
rnacentral:lncRNA from 1 species